rnacentral:rRNA from 1 species
UUCGCAAUGCCCGAAAGGGUGAACGAGCGACGCCGCGUGCGGGAUGAAGGCCUUCGGGUUGUAAACUGCUGUCAGGGGUUAAGAAAUUCACCGGUGCUAACAUCGCCGGUGUUUGACAAAGGCCCCAGAGGAAGCUCCGGCUAAAUCCGUGCCAGCAGCCGCGGUAAUACGGAUGGAGCAAGCGUUGUUCGGAAUCACUGGGCAUAAAGCGCAUGUAGGCGGCCUCAAAAGUCAGGUGUGAAAUCCCCCGGCCCACCCGGGGAAUUGCAUUUGAAACUGAGGGGCUCGAGUGAUGGAGGGGAGAGUGGAACUCCUGGUGGAGCGGUAAAAUGCGUAGAUAUCAGGAGGAACGCCGGUGGAGAAGUCGACUCUCUGGCCAUCUACUGACGCUGAGAUGCGAAAGCUAGGGGAGCAAACGGGAUUAGAUACCCCGGUAGUCCUAGCCGUAAACGAUGGGCACUAAGUAGAGGGG